UCGUGUCAUUGGGCAAGACGCUUUACCCACCUGCUCCCAGUGCCACCCACACUGCUUUAAAUGCAACUUAGAUAUUGCCUUUCACUAUGUAAAGCGCUUUGAGUCACUAGAGAAAAAGCGCUAUAUAAUUCACUUCACUUACAUAAAAAUGGAGAAGGGUACUGGUAACAACUGCCGUCAGUUGUAAGUAGACAUUUGUCACUUAUUUUGAAGUACAGGACGUCUAAUGUUAUGUCCAAUGUUAAUGUGUCCUUUUUCUUCUUCAUUAUGUUUUUCCUCAGUUAUCCAGUAAGUGCGGACAAAAAACUUCUCGCCAGAACCAUGUGACACUUUACCCGUCACUUAACAUCAACAUGGAGGACGAAAAUAAGGAUAUGAACACGUCUAUGAUCCAACAUGCCACGCUGGCUUUCUGGAAGGUAAGCUGAGGAAUAUCCGCCGAACGAAGGGAUGAUCGGUGCCGUUAUUGCAGAAGGGGUGGCUCAUCUGAAGUCACUGUUGGACUUGAAGAAGUUCCAGAAAGUGAUGAGUCUGUCCAAGAAUGGAUAACUGUGAUCAUAAGGAUGAAGCCUAGUCCGGAGAACCUUUCUUCCAUCAAGAUGGGUAAGGACAAAACCUACUUCCACCCAAGAUACUGGAUAUCUAAUCAGUCACCUACUCUGGCAGAGAUUGUUGAGAACUACCCUUGUUUCAUUGAUGUACCAUAUCUGGUAAGUCAGUCAAUGUAAUCACCACCUGCACUCUCAAAUGGAUUUGCAUAUAACCUUAUCUAAUCACCCUUGUCUUGUCCUGUUGGUAAACCUUAACAGAUCGACAGUUUGAGAAGAUGUUUCCAUACAAGACAGACAUCUUUCUACGCAAAUGGGACCAAAGUUGUUGAAGCUGGCUGCUCUUGAAGGAAAAGAUGAACCACCAGAAGCUGAGAGUGCUGAAUGAAGGUGCUGUAGAGCACUGAAGAUGCUCACACAUGAUCUGCCCCCUACUGGGUCAAGAAGAUCUAUGGGAUGGACAAAAUGCAGCAUCAAGUCAGUGCUGUCCUACAUUAAACAACCAGGAAGAAGCUUCCAUGACCUCCUACAAACCACUGACCCUGCUCCAGUGAUGCAACCUGGUCUGGUGAGCAUUGGACAUUGCAGCACAACAUCAACACAAUAUGUCCUCGUGGCUGCCCAUGUCAUUCCGCUCCAGGAAGAGGGUCUCACCGGCAGUCUGGACUAACUCUUCAAAUUGUAUUGGGCUUGUAACCUUGCCUGCUUGGUAAAGUAGGAGUUGUUGAUUGAAAAAAUGGCAGCCUGUGGACAUAAGUUGAACAACUUAUUGGGGUGUUACCAUUUAGUGGUCAAUUGUAUGUAAUAUGUACUUCACUGUGCAAUCUACUAAUAAAGUUUCAAUCAAUGA